rnacentral:rRNA from 1 species
UACGUAGGGGGCUAGCGUUGUCCGGAUUUAUUGGGCGUAAAGAGCGUGUAGGCGGCCAUGUAGGUCCGGUGUGAAAACUCGAGGCUUAACCUCGAGAUGUCAUCGGAAACCAUUUGGCUAGAGUCCGGAAGAGGAGAGUGGAAUUCCUGGUGUAGCGGUGAAAUGCGCAGAUAUCUGGAGGAACACCGGUGGCGAAGGCGGCAUCCUGGACCGGCAUUGACGCUGAGGCGCGAAAGCCAGGGGAGCGAACGGG